UUUUUCUGCCAUACCAGCGACAUACAGCAGGUGGCGCUAACAAAUAUUAGCUUCCGUGGCAUUAGGGGGCGCCAUACUAACGUCGUAUUUGCGGAAGUGUCCUUCAUCCUUCCACGAGCCAACAACGAGUAAACAGACGCACAGGAUACAUAGCUACAUGUCCAGGAUGUCGCUAGGCGCUAAAUUUUAACCCGAACUGCUAAAUGAUUUAAACUCAGAGCUGUGACACGGAAGAUCGGGGUGGAUAAUUUCUAUACGUAGAAAGUGACUGGAAAUAGCACAGCGAACAUUUAAGCCUCCGUAAUUUUACAGUGGCAGCUGAGUGGCCGCCAAAUAAGAUGUCAUGUCUGUGCUGUGUUAAGCUAGCAUGCUAGGCUAAGUGCUAGCCACGGCUAACUUCAGUUGUUUUUUGGCAUGAUAGAAAGCAGCGAGAACUCCUCGGGACAUGGCAGCCGGAGCAGGAGCUGCUUCUGGUGGCUCUCUAGAGUCUACAUUAGAUAGAAAGUUUCGAAAUGUCACAAACACGAUGGACUCAAUUCAAGGACUGUCAACGUGGUGCAUUGAAAACAAGAAGUAUCACAGCCUGAUUGUGCGACACUGGAUUAAGUGUGUGAAGAAAUCCAAUGCCCCACACAGACUCAACCUUUUCUAUUUGGCCAACGACGUCAUUCAGAACUGUAAAAGGAAAAAUGCCAUUGUUUACCGUACGGCGUUUGCUGAGGUGCUGCGUGAUGCCUUCUUGCUGGUUAACCUUGACGGUGACCAUAAGGUAAUUAAAUCGGUGGAGAGGAUACUGUCUAUCUGGGAGGACAGGGGUGUGUAUUCAGGUGCACUCAUUACUGAGCUUAGGAACAGCUUAGUCAAAGAGGAGUCCCCUCCUGAGACGCCCGUGGAGCAAAAAACUCCAGUUGAGUUUAAUGCAGAUCUGCGGUCCAAAGUGGUUGCUGAGUUUGUGCCCCAGGCACUUGUAGAUGAACUGUCCAAGUACAAGAGAUCUAUGCAGGAGGUUGACCUGAGAGAGAAGCAGAUGACAGCUAUGAGGGUUGACAUCUGCAGUUCCGAAGCCCUCAGGAAGCUCAAAGAUAAGGCAGGAGGAAAGAAGUUUUCCAAGGACUUCGAGGAAGGAAGUGCCCAAUUACAGGACUUUGUCAAGUUCCUCGGCAAUCACUGCAAAACAGGGCCUCGUCUCAUGCAAGCUCUCAGCAAUGCUGAUAUCUUCUACGAGAUGCAGUAUAAGGAGGUCAAGAUUGUUGCUAAUGCCUACCAGACAUUUGCUAACCGGGUGUCCCACCUGAAGCGUAAGCUGGACGCCUUGAAGGCCACCUUGCCAGACCUGGACGAGUCACCCAUCCCCUCACCAUCUGCAGAUGCACCCUCUCCGACGGGCUCAGAGUCUCCUUUUCAUGGUCUGGACAUGACCCACCCCGAUCCAGAUCUUGAUGGCUCUGCUAUGGAUGACGAGGCAGAGCCACCAGCCCCGAGUCCUCUGUCCUCACUGGGAGGAUCCCCCAAACACACAGAGACACUCGGGCAGAAUGACAUUUGUGAAGUGGAAGACAUGGAGCUCUCUGAUGAAGAAAUGGAGAGUUGUGGCAUUAUAGUUGAGGAGCAGAUCAAAUGCCCCUCCCACCCAGAGGUGUCCACUCCAGCUCAUUCAAAACCGAAGUCAUCAGUGACAACAGAGCAGACGGUCACACAGUUCACGCCCUCUGUAGCAGCUCCUGCAGGUGCUGUGGAAAGUGUUGAUCUGACUAAAAUUGGCUCCAUCCUCAACAGUUUGGGAUCCGUCAAGAAAAGCACAGUGGAGAGUCCUCCUGCAGCUGCCCCUGCUGACCCCUCACUGAAGACCACACCUACUGCCUCUGUAGCCUCUCAGGAUUCUAGUUCACUGGUAAACCUUCUGUCCAAGGUGGAUGUGAGUCCCGCAGACCUCCUCAGUGCUCUCUCCAAAGUCCAGAGUCAAGGCAGCAUUGAUGGCAUCACUUCUCUUCUGAGCAGCCCAGCUGCAAAUGUCUCCUCAGACUCCUCCAGUACAGGCAAAGUUCCUCCCUCUCCUUCCUCCACAUCUGCAUCAGCAGUGCCCCCUCAGAGCUUGUCUCUCUCCUCUGUUGCACCUGUGCCUUCUUCAUUCAGCUCUACUGUAAGGCAAAGCACAAUUUCCCAAGCCCAACCUCAGACUUCCAACCCAGCCUCUGCCCUGGUAAAGGCUCUCCAUAGAGACAUGGAUUUGACAACAGAGCCUGAACCGUCCUUGUCUUCUAAGAGUUUAGAGUCCAAAAUCCACAGCUUCCUGGCGGGGAACCCUGCUUUUAGUGCAUUUGACCUCAGUUUUUCUACACCCCCAGUGCCGGGAGGAGAUAACCUCAGCCCAGUGACUGGGGCAGAUAACCAGGAUGGGACUCCAGUGCGGGAUGAGGGUGGAGGCACCCCAACUCAAGAUGAGAUCAUGGACAAGCCUGUGGUGGCCCCAUUCACCUCCAACACAAAUCAAUCAUCUAUUGCACAAACCUUUGAAAUGGCUCCUAUUGCCUACCAGAACACCAGUCAGGGAAACCUCACCAAUUCCCAACAGCAAGCCCACUUGCAGCCAGGUGUGGCUCAGAACGGACAGCUCUACCAGCCAUAUCCAUAUCACAAACAGGAGAUGUCGGAGCUUGGGAUAACUACUCCUGUUGCACAUUACCAGCAGAUUUCUGCACAAACAGGAGGGCCAGUGCCUGGAGAAAGAGCCCCGGGCAGUGCCAGUAGCAUGCAGACAGUUGAGGGCUUUCAGGGGGUGAGUGAAAGGGGUUGGUAUGGUGAGACUUGCCCAGAGGGGAGCUCUCAGCAACCUGGGGGCUAUAAUUUGACAGGCCCUGGAGUGGCUGGGGAGCACAAGCCGUCAGAACUUUAUCCAUACCAAGCAGGGCAAAGUCAGCAAACUCAAGAAUUGGGCAUCCAGCAUGCUGCAUCUACUGGUUACAUCAGAAGCACCCUCCCCCCUGUCCCGCAGUUCCCUGGCCCUCCUCAGGGCUUUGACGCCCCUCCUCACGCAAGCAGCGGUUCGAUGAUCCCCCAAGAGCAUCAACCAAUGCUCCGCAUGGACUCAGAAGACGUGGUUGGGGCCAGAGUCGACAGUGUCAUCAGUGGGAUGGUGGUCCACGACCAUCAACAUAAAUCCAUGUUUCAUCCAGAUGAUCCACUGUAUGACCUUGACCGACCUCACCCCUCUCACCCUGAGGAUUUACGCCCUCGUCCAGAUGACCUGCAUUACCAGGAGGAUCCUGAGCAUUACAACGUCCAUCAUGAUGCCCCUUUCUUUCAAGAUGACCCUUAUUACCACCAAGAUGAUCCUUACUACGGCCCAGGCAGCCCUUCACACCAUUACCCCAGAGUUCGAGGGCACCUCACUGCCCCUCUCUCACCGUCAGAGGACCCUUACUUGGCCCAAGAUUACCAACGACGUGGGCCUCCUCCUCUGCACUACACUCCACGGAGACCACCACCCCAUCUUGAAAUUCAUCACCCUGGUCUACGGCCUCCACAUCGGCCUCCCCACCCAGCACGCCAUCCGCAUCCCAGAGGGCCACCACAUGCACCAUUUCCUCGUUUCCCAGGCCCUGAACCAAGGUUGAGAGGCAAACGUCCAGUUCCAAGAGGAGGGGGAUACCCUGGUCCAAGGUUUGCCCCUAAGAGACCCUUUCCACCACCGCGGUUCUGACUGGACACGUAGCUCUAGUUCUUUAAAUGUCAUGAGGUUAUGGGCCUGGACUUUUAAGACUUACUAGUCCCUCAUUGUUGAGGUCCACACCCUUCCAUGAUGAUCUGAAAAGGAAAACGUGUGUGGAUAAAAGUGCAAAUAGUGAGGUGGGCACCAGCAGACAAGGUUAUACCAAGAAACACUUUAUCCAGCAGCUGCCAGAAGACAAAUGUGGACAGUGAAGCUGUGUAGAAGGUUGAAGAGAACAAGAAACAACCGCGGGAGAUGUGAAAGAAGUGGGAGGCUCUGAGUGAUCUGCUGAGCUGCAGAAUGAAGACAGAAGAUUAAAGAAAAUAAGAGGGAUCCAGAGCCACACUUUGAUGUGUCUGAUGUGAUGGGAACCUUUUCCACAUGUUAACUGAAUCUCUCCUCUUUGAAUCCUACGCCGCUCCCAGCGAUGGCUCCUCGUGGUCUGACACGAACGCCGUUGCGCCGCAGCAGCUGAUUGUGGAAUCAGAAUCUGAGAGCGGGAAGGUUGGACAGGGAGGCACGUGUGUGUGUGUAAGUACAGCCAGGAUUAUUACACACUCUUCAGGUGUUGCAUUCUGCUUUUUAUGUCUUGUGUGCAUCGCCCACACACACACACACACACACACACAGUUACCUCGUAUUGCUUUCAGUAAACCCAGGUUUGUGUAAAAAACAAAAUCCUGUCCUUUAAGUGCAUGUUCUUGUGAAAUAAAGAGUUGUUUUUCAUGUCUAAAUAAAACAAGGUUCUCUUGUC